AUUGAACGCUGGCGGCAGGCCUAACACAUGCAAGUCGAACGAAUGGCGGACGGGUGCGUAAUGUCUGGGAAACUGCCCGAUGGAGGGGGAUAACUACUGGAAACGGUAGCUAAUACCGCAUACCGUCGGAUCUGCCCAAGUGGGAUUAGCUAGUCGGUGGGGUAACGGCUCACCUAGGCGACGAUCCCUAGCUGGUCUGAGAGGAGGACCAGCCACACUGGAACUGAGACACGGUCCAGACUCCUACGGGAGGCAGCAGUGGGGAAUAUUGCACAAUGGGCGAAAGCCUGAUGAAGCCAUGCCGCGUGUAUGAAGAAGGCCUUCGGGUUGUAAAGUACUUUCAGCGAGGAGGCGUUAGCCGCAGAAGAAGCACCGGCUAACUCCGUGCCAGCAGCCGCGGUAAUAC
rnacentral:rRNA from 1 species